rnacentral:misc_RNA from 1 species
AAGUCGUAACAAGGUUUCCGUAGGUGAACCUGCGGAAGGAUCAUUACAGAGUGACGUGCCCGGGGGCGACUCCGGGUCACCCACCCACCCGUGUUUACAUACCUUUGUUGCUUUGGCAGGGCGUGCUCUGCACCGCGGGCUUUGCUCGUGCGUCCCUGCCAGAGGACCAAACUCUGAAUGUUAGUGAUGUCUGAGAACUAUAUAAUAGUUAAAACUUUCAACAACGGAUCUCUUGGUUCUG